rnacentral:rRNA from 1 species
GACGAACCGUACGAACGUUAUUCGGAAUCACUGGGCUUAAAGGGUGCGUAGGCUGCGCAGCAAGUUGGGUGUGAAAUCCCUCGGCUUAACCGAGGAACUGCGCCCAAAACUGCUGUGCUCGAGGGAGACAGAGGUGAGCGGAACUUAGGGUGGAGCGGUGAAAUGCGUUGAUAUCCUAAGGAACACCGGUGGCGAAAGCGGCUCACUGGGUCUCUUCUGACGCUGAGGCACGAAAGCUAGGGGAGCGAACGGGAGUUAGAAACCCU